GUGGGUUUAUUGUCAACUUCGAAGAUGCUAACUUAAGUCAGCAUGCACGUCGAUCUGCCUUUGGAGAGCUUCACAGAGUCAAAUCGUUCGAGAGCUGGAAAAGCUGACGAGGGUCGAGGAAUACGCCUCUAUCUCGCUGAUAGAUAGGAGAGCUAGGCGUUGUCUUCUGCCUAGUCAUGGUUGUGCUUGCAGAGACUGGUGCUAGAACGUCAUGCUCGGUGGCUUGCGUUUCAGACGAACGCCACAUGUUCGAUAAUUUGUCUCAGAGAACAGCACCGCCACCCUUCGCCUAUCCAUCGCCAUCUCGCUUCUUUGUUUGCGUGGGUUUGAUUAAGAUGCUUAUUACUUUUAUUUUUUAAUAUACACAUAACACAGGUAGUUAUUGUUUAUUAUUCUUACCAGAAAACUUAAUUUCCCAUAUUCUACUUCUUUUUAAUAGUUUUAUAAAGUAAGUAUGAAAUGGGAUAAGCCAUCGUGUAUCUGUGGAGCGCAGCCUGGUCCUUGUAUUAUGUUUGGUUGAGAAUUAGUUGCUGUUGGCAAUUGAAAUUUUAUCAGAACAAUAUUUCAAUUUCAAGACAAAUAAAAUAUACUACUAGUUUAAAACACUAGGCAAGAAUCUUAGGGGGUUCACAUUCAUUGAGAUGGUAGCCAAAAAAUUGAAUACAAGAACCUAAGAGACCAAAAUUCAAUAAUAUUUAGAUUCACUCGUGACUACUGCCACCAAUACACAAGGUUGCUUUUUCUCACUGCUUUCAGUCUCAGUCUUUGACAAGAAACUGUAGUUGCGUGCUAUUUUGGAGGGUUAUGUGGAUCCUUUGCUAUGCAUCUCGUGGCUGCAUCGCAAGUCCAAGAACACUGAGGUCGAUGACCCAUCGUGGACGACGAGAUCACGGUCAAGCUGGUGCAGCAGAAGCUUAUUUUAGUUUUCAUAAUCUCUGUUAUAUCUAGAGAUGGUUUUGCAAGGAUGAUAUGCAUGUAUUAAGAGCAUCAUUUUCGAUGUUUAUUCUUA